UACGUAGGGAGCAAGCGUUGUCCGGAUUUACUGGGUGUAAAGGGUGCGUAGGCGGCUUUGCAAGUCAGAAGUGAAAUCCAUGGGCUUAACCCAUGAACUGCUUUUGAAACUGUAAGGCUUGAGUGAAGUAGAGGUAGGCGGAAUUCCCGGUGUAGCGGUGAAAUGCGCAGAGAUCGGGAGGAACACCAGUGGCGAAGGCGGCCUACUGGGCUUUAACUGACGCUGAAGCACGAAAGCGUGGGUAGCAAACAGG
rnacentral:rRNA from 1 species